rnacentral:Y_RNA from 1 species
GGCUGGUCCGAGUGCGGUGGUGUUUACAACUAAUUGGUCACAACCAGUUACAGAUUUCUUUGCUCCUUCUCCAUGCCUGCUACUCUACUUGAGUAGCCUUUA